AUGAACGCUGGCGGCGUGCCUAAUACAUGCAAGUCGCGCGAACAGACGAGGAGCUUGCUCCUCUGACGUUAGCGGCGGACGGGUGAGUAACACGUGGAUAACCUACCUAUAAGACUGGGAUAACUUCGGGAAACCGGAGCUAAUACCGGAUAAUAUAUUGAACCGCAUGGUUCAAUAGUGAAAGACGGUUUUGCUGUCACUUAUAGAUGGAUUCGCGCCGCAUUAGCUAGUUGGUAAGGUAACGGCUUACCAAGGCAACGAUGCGUAGCCGACCUGAGAGGGUGAUCGGCCACACUGGAACUGAGACACGGUCCAGACUCCUACGGGAGGCAGCAGUAGGGAAUCUUCCGCAAUGGGCGAAAGCCUGACGGAGCAACGCCGCGUGAGUGAUGAAGGUCUUCGGAUCGUAAAACUCUGUUAUUAGGGAAGAACAAAUGUGUAAGUAACUAUGCACGUCUUGACGGUACCUAAUCAGAAAGCCACGGCUAACUACGUG
rnacentral:rRNA from 1 species